CAAGCCUGAUCCAGCAAUGCCGCGUGCAGGAUGAAGGCCUUCGGGUUGUAAACUGCUUUUGUACGGAACGAAAAGCCUCUCUCUAAUACAGGGGGGUGAUGACGGUACCGUAAGAAUAAGCACCGGCUAACUACGUGCCAGCAGCCGCGGUAAUACGUAGGGGGCGAGCGUUGUCCGGAUUUACUGGGCGUAAAGGGUGCGUAGGCGGCCUUGUAAGUCAGAUGUGAAGGCUACGGCUCAACCGUAGUAAGCAUUUGAAACUGCAGGGCUUGAGUGCAGGAGAGGAGAGUGGAAUUCCUAGUGUAGCGGUGAAAUGCGUAGAUAUUAGGAGGAACACCAGUGGCGAAGGCGACUCUCUGGACUGUAACUGACGCUGAGGCACGAAAGCGUGGGGAGCAAACA
rnacentral:rRNA from 2 species